AUUGAACGCUGGCGGCAUGCUUUACACAUGCAAGUCGAACGGCAGCGCGGGCUUCGGCCUGGCGGCGAGUGGCGAACGGGUGAGUAAUGCAUCGGAACGUGCCCAGUAGUGGGGGAUAGCCCGGCGAAAGCCGGAUUAAUACCGCAUACAACCUGAGGGUGAAAGCGGGGGACCGAAAGGCCUCGCGCUAUUGGAGCGGCCGAUGUCGGAUUAGCGAGUUGGUGGGGUAAAGGCUUACCAAGGCGACGAUCCGUAGCUGGUCUGAGAGGACGACCAGCCACACUGGGACUGAGACACGGCCCAGACUCCUACGGGAGGCAGCAGUGGGGAAUUUUGGACAAUGGGGGCAACCCUGAUCCAGCCAUGCCGCGUGCGGGAAGAAGGCCUUCGGGUUGUAAACCGCUUUUGUUCGGGAAGAAAUCCUCUGGGCUAAUACCCCGGGGGGAUGACGGUACCGGAAGAAUAAGCACCGGCUAACUACGUG
rnacentral:rRNA from 1 species